rnacentral:rRNA from 1 species
AUGAGUUUCAUUGACCCACUCGACUCACCGCUCGCCCGCGGGCUCCAACCCGCCGCCAGUCUCCUAAACUACCGGACGGUUUACCCGGCUUCAGCGUCAAAUCUUCUGCUAACUCAUCGGGCUGGUUGCCAUGGAGAUAGCGGUGAAAUAAGUGCCUUCGCAGGAGAUAAGGACAUACUGCCGCUAAAUUGUUAA